GUAGAGCAGCGGACUUUUAAUCCGUUGGUCGCGAGUUCGAAUCUCGCCCGACCCA
rnacentral:tRNA from 1 species